AAUAAAGGAAAGGUACCUUUGUGCAGCAGGUACAAAAUUAACACUUUGGGAAGUGUGAAAUUAAUGAAUGUGUUUAUGUGAACAGAGGAGACACAAAAUUGUGAAUUGUCCCUAAAAAUUAGUUAUUACCCAGCAGUCUUCCCUGAUACCACCAGUAUCAGUCCAGCAGGUGUUUGGAUCAUUAGUUUGGGUCAUAUGGACUGUGGGUACAAGGAUGUUGGAUGAGUUAAAUGUUCAGCCGUACAGGCCAUCAGAGGUGGAUCCGGCUGACACAUGAGAAAUUGGUGAGUUAUAGGCUCGGCUGUACAGACCACAAGAUGUGGAUCCGGCCGACGUAUUUACUGGGGAAUUGACGUGUAAGUCGCACAGGUCACUAUAAGUGACUCCGACUAAUGUGCUAGCAUAGAUGGUUGAGCUAGAGAAUCAGCCGUACAGGUCAUUCUAGUUGACUCCGGCUGAUAUAUUUCUGAGUAUGGACGAUGAUGCCAAAGAAAGUAAUGUUGGAACGUGAUAGAGGCGUAUAUGUGUAUUCUAAUGAAGAACAAAAUGAUAGUAUUACACCUUUGGGAAUUGUUGCCUACUUAUCGAGACAACGAUGAUUUAUCAGUAUUGCGGGCUGCAGACCGUAAUAUUAAUAACUCAUUCGUGGAUUCGUUAAGCAAGCAAACCAGUAGGUUAUUUUAUGUUAGUGUUGUACUUAUUUAGAAUGUUCAGUAUUAAUAAAGUAUGUAUUGUGUCGGUUAAAUUAUUUCUAUUAGAUUGGUUGGUUAUAAUUGUGACUAAAUGGAUUGUUACGGGAAACCAGUCACUUUCCAUCGAUCUGGAUGACCAUAGAUUACUUUUGUAAGUAUGCAAAGUGGAUUGAGUCAGGCCGUUAUUUAUGCUGUGAGAGCAAAGAGAUUGUUUUCGAAAGGCUGUCAAAAAAAAAAUUCUUAGCUCAUGUGGUGCUAAAUGAUGUUGUUUGGAGUAGUGUGAAUAAUGUCAAAAGGGUUAGACUUUUCUUGAUGUCUUCCUUGAAAGUAUACCUGGAUUGCCUUCAGGCAGAGAUAUUAGGUUCACUAUUGAAUUGUUGCCAGGUAUAAAUUUAUGAUAAAGAUUGGUUCAGGAUGAGUUAAGGGAAUAUUCAGUUGAGAGAAUUGGUUGAUAAAAGUUUUAUUUAACCUAGUACAACAUUUUUUAGGAGCACCAGUUCGUUGAUGAGAAAGAAAAUGGACUUUAAAGACUAUGCAUUGAUUAUAGAUAAUGGAAUCGGGUAACGAUUGAGAACCGUUAUCCAUUGUGGUGUACUGAUGUUUAUUUGAUCAGCUCAGAGGUGCAUGUGUACUUUCAAAGAUUGAGAGAACGUUGGUUGUAUGCUAAGUUUAGCAAAGGCUAAAGUUAGAUGAAUCAGGUGGCAUUCUGAAAUUAAUUAUAUCUACUUAAGAUAUUCAAGUGGAUUCUUAAAAGAGUAGCAACGAUUGAGAACUUGGAACAAUUGCGAACUGUGACUGAGAUUCAGAGUUUUCUUGGCUUAGCAGGUUAUUACUGAUAGUUCGUCCAAGAUUUUUCAAUCAUUGCUUUGCCCUUGGCGAGAUUGAUGAGAAAAGAGAUUACGUUUGAGUGGGAUGAAAAAUUGUGAGUAGAGCUUCAGCAAGUAAAGUAUUCCCUCACUCAUGCAUCUGUUUUCGCAUUUCCAGACGAUAAUGGUAAUUAUAAGGUUUAUAGUGAGGCUACGUUGGAUGUUCUUGAAUGCGCGUUGAUGCAGCAUGUUAGGGUGAUUACCUAUGUUUUACGGCAAUUAAAACUUCAUGAGAUGAAUUACCCUAAUUAUGAUUUGGAAUUAGUAGCUAUCAUCUUUGCUUUGAAGAUUUGGAAACUUUGUCUUUAUCGGAAGAAAAGUGCACGAUUGUUACGAAUCGAAGAGUACCCAAUAUCUGUUUAUUCAGAGGUAUCUUAAUCUCAGACAACAAAGGUGGAUUGAGUUACUUAGUGAUUAUGAUUGUACGACUAGGGUGGUCGAACUAAUGUUAUGGCCAAUGCUUAUAGUAGGAAGACCCAGUGAGAAUUAAUGCUUGGUACGAUUGCCAUGUUCAUCUUCUUGUAGAUUGAGACCUACUGGAGUAAAGUUGGGAAUGGAAGAUCGAAAAGAAAACGUACUUGCUAAUUUUCAAGUUAGGUCUAUUUGGUAGGUCGUACUCGAGACUCAAACGUUUGAUGAAGAAAUUCAAGAAAUUUAUUUAAAGCAAGGAAUAACGGAAAGAAAGAAGUCUUUUGGAUUGAUGUAGUCACUUCCCGUUCCACGGUGGAAAUGAGAAAAUAUUAAUAUAGAUUAUGUGUGCAAGCUCCCUCGUUCACGAGAUGGUUAUGAUGAAAUUUGAAGUGAUAAUUGAUUGGUUUACUAAAUCAGCACAAUGUUCUUCGAUGAAAGAGCAGUAACCUUUCCAGAAGUGCAACAGUUAUUUAUCUGUCUUAUGGAAAAGAGAUUUAGACUUACAGAUUUGUUGAACUUCUUGGAUAUGUUGGUCCUUUCAGUUUGUCCCCGAGAGCAACGCCAUAAGGUCGUGGAAAGUUGUGUCUUGUGUUUCAAAUUGUUAGAAUUGUGGACGGAUGGUAUUUAAAACCCUGAGUUAAUGGAGGAGACUACUCAGAAUAUUCAAGUAAUUAAGUCUAACCUGAAAGUGGGCCAGGAUCGGCUGAAGAGUUAGCAAACAAACAUGCCACUGACCGGAUGUGUAAUGUAAGAGAUUGGAUGUUUUUGAAAUUAUCACCUUAGAAAGGUGUGGUUCAGGUCGAAAUAGAAGACAAGUUACAUCUUAAGUACAUCAGGUCGUCUUUGACUAUUGAAGGAAUCGGUGAAAUACUUUCAAGUUGAGUACCUUCGGGAUUGGAUAAGAUGUAUAGUGUAGUUCAUGUUUUGAUGAUCCGUUACAAAGUAGCAGCUUCGUCGUGUAUGAUUCCGAUUCAGCCCUUAGAGAUUAAUCUGGAUUUGAAGUGUGAUGAGGAGCCAGUGACUAUCUUGUAUUGAAAAGACAUUGUGCUGAGAAAUAAGACUAUGAGUUUGGUGAAAGUUUAUGGAGGAAUCUUUCAGUGGAAUAAACUACUUGGAAGUCAGAGAAUCGAAUGAGAGAGAUGUGUUUCGGGUUGUUUUAUGGAUAUUGAUGGAUUGUAAAGAUUGUGUAAAUUUCGAGGACGAAAUUUCUUUAAGGUGGGUAGAUUGUGACAACCCGUCCCUAAUUUUAAAGAAUUUUUAAAGUUUGAAGUUUGGACAUUUUUAUGAUUUUUAUUAUUAAAAUUUGGAUGGCCCAGAUUUAAGGAUUUUGAAAUGGAUGGCUUAGAUGUAAGAGAAAGAAAAUAAAAAUAAAAUUAGGAAAGAAGGUUUUAUGUGUGUGUGUACGUGAAGAAGAAGAAGAAGAAGAAGAAGAAGAUUUAGGACUGGGCAAAAACUGCCCAACCAGAAGAAGAGAGAGCCAGAGCUCCGGGAGAGAAAGGAGGGAGUCCAGCGAAUCAGGAGAAGAGAGAGGAAGGGCUGGCCAACCAGGAACCAGGAAAGGAGGAAAGGAGAGAAGGCGAGAAGCGGAGGAAGAAGAACAGAAAUGGGUCACAACCCGCGACCCGGUGGGUUUUCCACCCAUUUUCGUCGAAAUUUCUUCAUUUUUUCCAGCGAAUUGGAUCAAGGUACCACUCCCAAUCAACAUCUAGGCCUUCCCUUUUUACGUUUUACCCCAAGAAUCAUUGAAUUUUGUUGUGAUUUCGCGAAGAACACCCAUACGGGUGCCGCGACCCUUUUGUUCAAAUUCUCCAAAUUUUGAAAUGUUUUCUUUCAAUUACUAACACCUUUAGCAUUCCUUUAGGACCUAGAACAAAGCCCAAGAGGUAAUUGAGGCGUUGGAACAAGUUUGAAGGUCGAAUUGGAAACACCCAAAUUCUAGGGUUCUUCACGGUUUUGGUGAAAUUGAAGCACUUCCAGGCCAAAUUGGCCUUGGUCUCAGGUAUGAAAGUUGUUCUACUCAUUGAGAUCUUCAAAUCUGCAAAUUUUGGUAAUUUUUGGAAAUAGUUGAAUUUUCCGGCGAGCCGGGGGCGGCCAACCGCCACCCGCGGCGGCCCGCGCGGCGGCGCGUGGCCAAUGGCCGCCAAUGUCAUUAUUAGCUUGUGAUUAAGGUUCUAGGUUCUGUUUUGAUAAUUGAUGGACGUAAAUUGAAUAAUUGAACCUAAGUUGGUUACGAUUCGUGAUUAGGUGAAAAUGUGAAUUGACGAUCCGACCGUUGGAUCGUCAUCAAACUUUGAUACGUUGUAAUACAUAAUAUUUGAGGACUAUAGGAACUUACGGAUUGGGAAUCCAAUUUACGGAUCUUCCGGAAUUGAAGUUGUAAGUUCAAAAAAUAGAAUGUUAACCGUCACUUAGUUUUGGAAAUUGACGGAGAUCCGACCGUUGGAUGGUAAUGAAAUUUUAGGAUGUUGUCCUAGAGGUAUAUUGUGGACCUCUGGAAGUUACGGAUUUGAAAUCUGAAUUGCAGAUCAUCCGGAUCGAACUACGUAGUGACGUGUCUUAUAUAAGUUAUGUAUUCUAUCGGCAGAAUUUCUGAGGUUGGAUUUGAUUGUUGUUCUAGGCGCUAAUCGUCAUAACGCCUUGAUGUACGGUGCUAGGGAGUUGUGGGCGAACUCCAGGUGAGUGGGCAGUUUUGUUUUCCGUAUAUAUAUGUACUUGACGUUUUUCCCAGAAAUUGAAAUUUAAUGAAAAAUGUGAUUUGAAAUGCCAUGCAUAGAAAUGAUAUGAAAAGUAUAUAGAAAUGUGAAUUGAAUUGCCAUGCAUGAAAUGAUAUGAAAAAUAUGAAUUGAGAUAUGAUGCAUAUGUAUGAAUUGGUACUGUGGACGCACAGAUGAGUAUCAGGUGAGUAUUAUUACUACUAUGAUGAUGUUGAGAUAUAUUGAGCUCAUAACCUGCACCUUGGUAUUAGUGCUUAUUACUAUUCACCGCAUCGCACGCUCGCCUUGGAUCCAAGUAGAUGCUAGUCGUACAGACCACUAGAGGUGGUUCCGACAUGCCAGUCGUACAGACCAUUAGAGGGGUUCCGACUGGUAGGUGAUCUUAGAUUAUGUGCACAGAUGAUUGAUGAGAGAAGCACUAGAGCGUAAUAGUAACCAUUAAGUCGUACAGACUACAUUAGGUGGUUCCGACUUAUGUGCAGUGUAGGCCGUACAGGUCACAGUAGGUGACUCCGGCAAGGGCCGUACAGGUCACAGUUGGUGACUCCGGCUAGAUGAUAUUUUGAGCUCUAGAUUCAACCGUACAUGACCAUUGUAGGGUCUUCGGUUGAUUACUUCUUGCACCUGAUAUAAUUAUUGUUGAUGCAUUCAUACUUAACUGUUGAAUUCCGACAUGGCAUGGCAUAUUUGUACUGAAAAAUGUUGAGCUAAUGAAUUGAAGUAUUGAGAAUAUAUAUGUAUAUUUAUAUUUUACAUUUAUGGGAAAGUAUACAGGUUUUACGGAGAGGGGUUACAACGUUUUGAGAAAUGUUGAAUUUGGAAAAGAAUUGUUUUACUGACCCACUCAAUUUUGGUUUUGCGCCCCUCCAGGUUCAGGAAUCACAAAGGUGUGGUGACUACGAGGAAUUCGACGGUGUUCUGACAGAUUGGACAAAAUUAGGACUCACCUUCGGGUGUAUCAACUUAUAAAUUGUAUCUUAAAGCUUCCGUACUGUGCAAAUGGUUACGUCACUCUCACGUGACGGCCAGCAUGCCCUCCUUCGGGAAGGGGUGUGUCAGUCGGCCUAUAUUUUUAGGCCCCGAGAUUUUAUUAUUUAAUUUUUUUUAACUAAUAUGGGUUUUUAUAUUUUCACCCACACUUUAAUUUGGCCCCGAAGACCAAAAAUAAAUUAAUUCACUUAUCAUUAUACAAUAUUUCUGCAUAUAUUCUUUGCAUAUUUGUUUGCAUAUAUAUUUGUGUUUGCCUGCAGGAAUAUAUGAACCUGAAGUUCAUAAUUACUUUGAAACCCGAAGUUUCUUAUACACAUGCCUUGUUUGAAAACCCGAAGUUUUCACUUAAAUAUAUCACCCAUGAAAACCCGAAGUUUUUCAUGCAAAAUUAAACUAAUACAUGUCUAUUAGAACCUGUAUGUUCUACUCCUAUGUGAAUGGAUUGAUUUUUCUCCAUUACACUAACCACAUCUUGUCCAUCUAUUUUGUGAUAGGAACAUGUCGAACUUGAACAAACUCGACUUCACCACUUUGGAGGUUUCUGGAAGGAACUACCUCAAGUGGGUUCAAGAUGUGAAGCUCCACCUCACUGCAAAGAACUUGCGUCCUGCUAUUGAAGAAGCAACAGAUAAACCUGUUGGCGAGGCUGAAAAAAGCCACUGCUAUGAUCUUCAUCCGAAGACAUAUCCAUGACGCUCUACAAACUGAGUACCUUGCUGAGGAUGAUCCACGUGCAUUAUGGGUCGCUUUGGCUGAUCGUUUCGAUCACCAAAAGGACAUAUUCUUGCCUGAAGCAAGACACGACUGGCAGCACUUGCGCUUCCAAGACUUUAAGUCUGUGAAUGAAUAUAAUUCUGAAGUUUGUCGAAUCCGAUCACUUCUCAAGUUUUGCAAUGAAACUUUGACUGAAGAGGAUCUCCUGGAGAAGACCUACUCGACCUUCUCUGCUUCUAAUAUUGUCCUGCAGCAACAAUAUAGAGCUCAGAAGUUCACUAAGUUCUCGGAUUUGAUCUCUGUUUUACUUCUUGCUGAAAGGCAGAACCAGCUGUUGAUGAAGAAUCAUCAAGCUCGACCUACUGGGGCUACUGCUGUGCCUGAAGCACAUUAUAGCACUAAUCAGCACCCAAAACGCCAAAAAGAUGCGUGGUAAGGGCGGCCAGAAGCCAUCCCACCAAGGUCAACAGAGCCAAGGCCCAUCCAAGGGAGGAAACAAAGCCCAGAAGCGCCCAAACCUCGCUCCCAAGGCCCCGAACUUCAAGAAUAAGGGCAAAGCACCUGCCACAAUGAAUGACGAUAUGUGCUAUCGUUGUGGUUCCAAGGACCAUUGGUCCCGUAUUUGCCGUGCUCCCAAGAAGGUUGUGGAUGCAUAUCAUUCUCGUCGUACGAAGUUUGAAUCAAACUUCCUGCAAGUGGACGAACCGGAGACUACAAAGAUGGAGGUUUCUGAUUUUCAGGAGGAUACCACUCCUAUGGAAGAUUAGAAUCUUAGACAUAGACUUAUUUUUUCAGUUAAAAUAAAGACAAUUGGGGCCGAAUUCCACCUUGUGGCCGAACCCCACCUUGUUUUUUGGUUGAUUUUGAACAAUUUUCCUUUAUGAUUUGGAUUAUUAGUUGGCGAUUUAUUUUGGAUAUUAAGUUUUUUCCUUGAAUAAAUGAAAUUAUUUUGAAUUGAUACUUGUUUUUAUAAACUUUUAUGCAUGUGACCGAUUCAAAUUAAUUUUUCAUUCUAGGUAUGACUAGUGGGAAAGUUAGUUGUCUGGCAGAUAGUGCAACCACGCAUACUGUUUUGCGUGAACGCAUCUAUUUCACUAACUUCGUACCUAAGAAUGCACCUCUGACAACCCUCUCAGGCCCAUCCAACCUGAUCGAAGGAUACGGUAAGGCACGUAUAAUGUUGUCCAAUGGUACAAUCUUGACCAUUGCUGAGGCACUCUAUUCUCCACGUUCCGGAAGAACGUUACUAAGUUUCAAGGACAUUAGAGAUAACAAUUACCACGCUGAAACCCACGUAGAAAACGGAGUUGAAUUUCUGUGCGUAACUUCCUACGAAUAUGGCCAGAAGCGUAUUCUAGAGAAGAUGGAGCGUAACCCGAGUGGUCUGUAUACUACGACCAUACGCCCCAUAGAAUGCCACUAUGUGGCCGGCCCUACCACAGGGACCGCGCACGAAAUUACACUUUGGCAUGAUCGUUUGGGACAUCCUGGACAAAUAGCGAUGCGCCGUAUCCUCAAAACUUCACACGGGCAUCCACUAACCCGAAGCUUAGGUUCGAUCCAUGAAAUUGUGCAUGUCAAACAUGUUCUAUGGGAAAGCUUAUUACUAAGCCUUCUUAUGACAAGAUUCGUUCGAAUCCUCCCAUUUUUCUACAACGGAUUCAGGGGGACAUUUGUGGACCGAUUCAACCUCCCUGCGGACCAUUUAGAUAUUUUAUGGUUUUGGUUGACGCUUCUACACGUUGGUCACACGUGUGCUUGUUGUCCACAAGGAACGCUGCAUUCUCCAAACUGUUGGCUCAGGUUAUCAAGCUCAGGGCUCACCACCCUGAUUAUCCGAUCAAAUCUAUUCGAUUGGAUAAUGCUGGAGAAUUCACAUCUAAAACUUUUGAUGACUAUUGCAUGUCGGUUUGGGGUUGAAGUUGAACAUCCUGUACCCCAUGUUCACACCCAGAACGGCCUGGCAGAGGCUUUCAUUAAGCGUUUACAAAUGAUUGCUCGAUCGUUGGUCAUACGUACCAAGCUCCCGAUCGCUGCUUGGGGCCAUGCAAUAUUGCACGCAGCAAAGUUGGUCCGCCUGAGGCCUGUUGCGACACAACCAUUUAGUGCCCUUCAGUUGGUCACCAGAUGCGAACCCGACAUAUCGCAUCUGCGCGUUUUUGGUUGUGCGGUCUAUGUGCCGAUCUCGCCGCCCUUACGUACAAAAAUGGGGCCUCAGCGAAGGAUGAGAAUCUAUGUCGGAUAUGAUUCUCCUUCGAUUAUUCGUUACUUAGAACCUUUGACAGGCGAUCUGUUUACCGCUCGUUUUCGCGGAUUGUCACUUCUAUGAGACAGUCUUCCCGUCGUUAGGGGGAGAUAAGAACGUCAACGUUCCUAAUGAACGACGCGAAUUAUCGUGGACGACUCCCACUUUGUCUCAUUUAGAUCCCCGCACCGCUCAGUCUGAAGCUGAAGUGCAGCGCAUAUUAGAUCUCCAGAGCAUAGCUCAGAGCAUGCCAGAUGCUUUCACCGAUCUAGCGCGCGCGUGACAAGAUCACAUAUUAUUCCAGCUGCGAAUACACCUGCAAAGAUGGAUGUACCAAAUGUACGACGGACUACCCUCCUGGAAGCCCGGGACGCCAAUUCUGGUGAUCCACGUACAUUAGCGGCUAGCCAAUCAUCUGCCCCUACAUAAAAGCGUGGCAGACCCCUUGGUUCAAAGGAUUCACACCCCCGGAAGAGGAAAACCACGGCACAAGGUCCUGAAGAGCCUACCGUGAAUCCGACUAUCGCUUACUCAUUUUACCCAACUCAUGAGGAAAUUCUAGAUUAUGGAAGCGUCCUUGAAGAGACGAAAUCCUCCUCCCGAGAAUCGUGAGAUUUCGGUCUAUUUAUGCUAGCUUAGAUGAUGUGUGGCGUAGAAAUGAGAUGAUUGUCGACGAUGCAUUAGCAUUUGCAGUAGCUACUGAGAUCAUGUUGAGCGAUGACAUUGAACAGCGUUCCGUUGAUGAAUGUCGACGUAGAGCUGAUUGGUCAAAACUGGAAACAAGCAAUCCAAGUCGAACUUGAUUCACUUGCGAAACGUAAGGUGUUUGGACCUGUAGUUCCUACUCCUCCACAUGUGAAGCCCGUUGGCUACAAGUGGGUUUUCGUUCGGAAGCGUAAUGAGAAGAACGAAAUUGUGCGUUACAAAGCUCGUCUUGUAUCACAAGGUUUCUCACAACGCCCCGGGAUUGACUAUGACGAAACUUACUCACCCGUUAUGGAUGUGAUUACUUUUUCGAUACCUUAUCAGUUUGGUAGUUUCCGAAAAACUGGAUAUGCAGCUGAUGAACGUAGUAACCGCGUAUCUCUAUGGGGAUCUUGAUACGGAAAUUUAUAUGAAAGUUCCCGAAGGACUUACAUUGACUGGUUCAAAUAUUUCCAAACCCCGGAACACGCUCUCAAUUCGGCUGAGGCGUUCACUAUACGGUUUGAAACAAAUCCGGAAGAAUGUGGUAUAACCGUUUAAGUGAGUAUUUGACUAGUCAGUGAUAUGUGAAUAACGAACUAUGCCCUUGUGUGUUCAUUAAGAAGUCACAUUCCGGAUUUGCGAUUGUUGCAGUAUAUGUCGAUGACAUGAAUCUCAUCGGAACUCCUGAAGAGCUCGCGAGAAACUGCUUCGCACCUGAAGUCAGAAUUUGAGAUGAAAGAUCUAGGUAAGACUCGAUACUACUGUUCUCGGUCUCGAGAUAUAGAGAGCAUUGUUCGGAUGGAAUCCUAGUACAUCAAUCGAACUACACCCAGAAGGUGUUGCGCCGUUUUAAUGAGGAUAAAACGAAGUCUUCGAGUACUACCUAUGGUAUGGUCAUUCGUACGCUAGAUGCAAAGCGAGAUCCCUUCCGUCCGAGGAGGAGGAUGAUGAAGAGAUUUUGGAGCCUGAAGUUCCUUAUCUAAGUGCGAUAGGCGCUUUAUUGUACUUAGCUCAAUGCACUAGACCCGACAUCUCCUUCGCUGUUAAUCUUUUGGCAAGAUACAGCAAUGUACCAACACGCAGACAUUGGACUGGCGUGAAAGACAUCUUCCGUUACCUUAAGGGUACUACGGAUUUGGGCUUAUUCUAUCCCUACGAAUCCUCGAGUGAUGCCGCACCCUAUGCUCAUCGGGUUGAUUCUCGCCUUGUUGGUUAUGCCGACGCUGGAUACUUAUCUGAUCCGCACAAGGCGCGUUCUCAAACGGGUUAUGUCUUUACCGUUGGAGGCACCGCAAUAUCUUGGAGGUCAACUAAACAGACCUUAGUUGCCACUUCGUCUAACCAUGCUGAAAUUCUCGCCUUACAUGAAGCAACUCGGGAAUGCUUUUGGUUGAGAGCAGUAGUGGGCCAUAUUCGAAGCUCCUGUGAUCUUCAUCCCGCCGUUAAUGCCCCGACGACGAUUUUUUGAAGACAACGCAGCUUGCAUCGAACAGCUCAAGAAGGGUUACAUCAAAGGAGACAACACCAAGCAUAUUGCGCCGAAGUUCUUCUUUACACAUCAACAACAAGAGCAUCAGAAGAUUGAAGUCACGCAAAUCCGAUCACAAGACAAUCUGGCCGACCUCUUCACCAAAUCACUACCGAAGGCGACGUUUCAGAAGCUUGUUCAUGGAAUUGGUAUGCGUAAACUUUCUGAGUUGUAACUUUGCUAUUUCUCUGUGGAAUUAUGUCAAACUCAGGGGGAGUAUCUUCUAGAUACUUGCUUGAUCUUAAUGUACUCUUUUUCCCUACAAUUAGGAGCAUUUUUCCCACUGGGUUUUUGCUACCUAACUAGGUUUUAACGAGGCACCCACCUUGGGCUGAUCAUAUCCCUGAUGACGUCCUGUAGACGUUUCUUUUGACUUUGCAUUUCUCACGCAUUUUUCCUUAGACUAUGGAUUUUGUCCCUACUUGGGUUUUUUGCCAUAGCCUUAGGGUUUUUUAGUGAGACUUACUAGUUUAUGCAAGUUCCUACCUUAUUGAGAAUAAGCGUUGUUCCUUGGAAUCAAUGCCGACGAGUCGACUUCCUCAACUUCUGCAUGAUGCUGAAUCUACCUUGAGUAUUUACCCACUCAAGGGGGAGUGUUGUAAACAUUCCUAGUUUAAGUAUGAUUGUGUAAAUCCUAGAUAAGAUUUGAUUCUAGUUAUCCUUUCCUAUUACAACUUGUAUUACUUGGAGGAGAAGGAAUAUCUUCUCUCCCUUUACUACUAUAAAUAAAGGCACAAUGUAGGAGGGAUAACAACACACACAUUCCCCUACAAUUCUACAAACACACAUCCUCUCCUCUUCUCUCUGCCGGCCUGUAGGAAAAAGAGUACAUUAAGAUCAAACAAGUAUUCUUCAUGAUACUCCCCCUAAGUUUUACAAAAUUUCGAAGAGAAAUAGCAAUGUUACAAGUUAGAAAGUUUACGCAUACCAAUUACAUGAACAAGCUUUUGAAACAUAUUCUUCGGUAGUGAUUUGGUGAAUAGGUCGGCCAGAUUGUCUUGUGAACCGAUUUGAGUGACUUCAAUCUUCUGAUUCUCUUGUUGUUGAUGUGAAAAAGAAAAAACUUCGACGCAAUGUGCUUGCGUGACUUCAAUCUUCUGAUGCUCUUGUCUUAUGAACGGAUUUGCGUGACUUCAACAAGCUGUUCGAUGCAUGUUGAGUUGUCUUCAAAAGAUCGUUGUAGGGACAUCUACGGCGAGGUAGAGAUCGAAUGAGCUUCAAAUAUGGCCUACUACUGCUUUCAACAAAAGCAUUCCCGAGUUGCUUCAUGUAAGGCGAGAAUUUCAACAUGUUUAGAUAAAGUGGAAACUAAGGUCUGUUUAGUUGACCUCCAAGAGAUUGCAGUGCCUCCAACGGUAAAGACAUAACCCAUUUGAGAACGCGCCUUGUGCAGUUCAGACAAGUAUCCUGUGUUGGAAUAACCAACAAGGCAAGAAUCGACUCGAGAAGCAGAAUAUGCGGCAUCACUUGAGGAUCCGUAGGGAUAUAACAAGCCCAAAUCCAUAGUACCCUUAAGGUAAUAAAAGAUGUCUUUCACGUCAGUCCAAUGUCUGCAUGUAGGUGCAUUACUGUAUCUUGCCAAAAGAUUAAUAGCGAAGGAGAUGUCGGGUCUAGUGCAUUGAGCUAAGUACAAUAAAGCGCCUAUCACACUUAGAUAAGGAACUUCAGGCUCCAAAAAUCUCUUCAUCAUCCUCCUUUGGAUGAAAAUGAUCUCGUUUUGCAUCUAGCGAUCGAACGACCAUAUGAGUACUUAAAGGCUUCGCUUUAUCCUCAUUAAAGUGGCACAACACCUUCUGGGUGUAGUUCAAUUGAUGUACUAGGAUUCCAUUCGAACAAUGCUCUAUCUCGAGACUGAGAUAGUAUCAAGUCUUACCUAGAUCUUUCAUCUCAAAUUCUGACUUCAGGUGCGCGGCAGUUCUUGCGAGCUCUUAAAGAGUUCCGAUGAGAUUCAUGCCAUCGACAUAUACUGUAACAAUCGUAAAUCCAGAACGUGACUUCUUAAUGAACACACAAGGGCAUAGUUUGUUGUUCACAUAUCCCUGAAUAGUCAAAUACUUACUUUAACGGUUAUACCACAUUCUUUCGGAUCGCUUCAAAUCGUAAAGUGAAUGCCUCAGCCAAAUUGAGAGCGUGUUUCCAAGGUUUGGAAAUAUUUGAACCAGUCAACGUAAGUCCUUCAGGAAAUAUUUGGCUUGGUAUUGGCGGCGGCUUGCACGGUGCAAGGUCAGGGUUCGAAGUGUGUAAACGUGAGUCAUUAAAAAUAAGUAUGUAAAUAUAUUGUAAAUAUUAAGAGUCCUUUAUUUAGGAAGGAUUAAUUGUUGUGUCCCUUAGUGAUUAUUAUUUCCAUAUAGAACAAGGAUUGUAUUUGUAUUAUAUAUUCAAGGAAGUAAUACAAUGAAAAUUAUCUCGUAGAAUUCUAUUUGGCAUCAAAGCCAAGGUAGCCGUAACCUUAGUUUUUCUGUUGUGCUCAGUCCGCAAGUUUUUUUCUACAAUUCUUCUCGCAGAAAUCAGUGUCGCUGUGUGUGCAGCAGUGUGGUGGGUCGAGCGGUGUGGUGCGUGUGUAGCAGUCGUUUUUUUUUUAUUGUUGAAGCAGAAUGACAUCGGAGGAAGGCUGUGGCGUAUUGAAGUUGGAGGGUAGUGUUUGUAACCCAACCAAUAAUCCAGUAUUGAAUCCUGUCGUUAUUCAGAGUGAUGCAUCUGCCGUACCAAAACACCAUGAAACUAAAUGGAUCAAAUUAUCCUCUUUGGUCCAAGGUUUUAGAGAUGCACAUCGCUGGACGCGGUAGGAAUGGCUUUGUGAUUAGGAGUACCAAGGAGCCUGCUGAGGAUAGUGCCGAGUAUGAGACGUGGGAGAUAGAGAAUGCAAUAUAGUAAAAGGGUGGUUAAUUAAUUCCAUGGAACCUGCUAUUAUGGGAUUUUUUAUUCACCUGCAUACUGCUAAAGAAGUUUGGGAAGAGGUGGUUUGGACCUAUUAUGAUGGUUUGGAUAUUUCUCAAAUUUAUGAAUUGAAGGUUAAAUCUUUCAGACUCCGUCAAGAUGGCCGGCCAGUUGAUGUGUAUUAUGCUGAUCUCAAGUCCGUUUAGCAAGAGUUAGAUCAAAGAAGGCUAAUCAAGAUGGGGUGUGUUGUGGAUCUCAAGACCAUUCGAGAAGAAAUUCAAAUUGAUCAUGUGUAUGCCUUUUUGGCGGGUUUGGAAGAUAUCUUUGAUAAAGUACGUAGUGAUAUUCUACGUGCUCAACCCUUACCAUCUGUUGAGGAGGUGUUCUCUGUUGUUUGGUGUAAAGCACAACGACAUGCCACUAUGAUGGAUGGAAGUAANNNNNNNNNNNNNNNNNNNNNNNNNNNNNNNNNNNNNNNNNNNNNNNNNNNNNNNNNNNNNNNNNNNNNNNNNNNNNNNNNNNNNNNNNNNNNNNNNNNNNNNNNNNNNNNNNNNNNNNNNNNNNNNNNNNNNNNNNNNNNNNNNNNNNNNNNNNNNNNNNNNNNNNNNNNNNNNNNNNNNNNNNNNNNNNNNNNNNNNNNNNNNNNNNNNNNNNNNNNNNNNNNNNNNNNNNNNNNNNNNNNNNNNNNNNNNNNNNNNNNNNNNNNNNNNNNNNNNNNNNNNNNNNNNNNNNNNNNNNNNNNNNNNNNNNNNNNNNNNNNNNNNNNNNNNNNNNNNNNNNNNNNNNNNNNNNNNNNNNNNNNNNNNNNNNNNNNNNNNNNNNNNNNNNNNNNNNNNNNNNNNNNNNNNNNNNNNNNNNNNNNNNNNNNNNNNNNNNNNNNNNNNNNNNNNNNNNNNNNNNNNNNNNNNNNNNNNNNNNNNNNNNNNNNNNNNNNNNNNNUUUCGAAAGGCUGUCAAAAAAAAAAUUCUUAGCUCAUGUGGUGCUAAAUGAUGUUGUUUGGAGUAGUGUGAAUAAUGUCAAAAGGGUUAGACUUUUCUUGAUGUCUUCCUUGAAAGUAUACCUGGAUUGCCUUC
rnacentral:lncRNA from 1 species